rnacentral:misc_RNA from 1 species
AAAAAAUCGGCAUCUUUCUCUUUAUUUAGAGUAAUUGCCUUGAAUAUGAAUAAGUUACAAUUAAUUUCUCAUUUUACUAUGAAGUUAAAUAAUGAGUGUUAGAACAGGAAAACCACUCUAAAAUCUUUUUGACUUUAUGAAAAUGGACAUAUAUUUUGGAACAUCCCAAAAAGAAAUAGUGGACAACCUUUGUGGGGCAGAGGGACUAUUAAUUAGCUUUUAUAUAUGUGU